AUGUAUCACUGUGGUGACACCCAGCCCAGUGUGACGGUGCUGCCCCCCUCCAGUGCGGAGCUGCAGCAGGAGAAGGUCACACUCGUGUGUGUGGCCUACAAGGGCUUCCCCUCGGACUGGAAGUUGAGCUGGAAGGUUGACGGCAGCAGCUGGAGCUCGGGGGAGAGCCGCAGCGCCGCCGUUCUGAACGCGGACGGCCUCUACAGCUGGAGCAGCACGCUGAGCCUCCACCCGGAUCAGUGGAGGAACAAGGUGGUGACCUGUGAGGCCUCCAAAGACAGCCAACCUACUGUGGUGAGCACAGUGAACACAGAGCAGUGCUCAGAGCUGUGA